GUUAUCUUGGCCUAGUGGUUAAGGCGACAGACUAGACAUUCUCCCGCGCAGGUCAGAAUCCUGCCGACAACG
rnacentral:tRNA from 1 species